GUUUGUGCGGAGGCCCUCCUGGCCGCCCCCAAAGCCUGGUUAGGGGGUGGGGGAAGGAGGUGUCCUGGCCCUGAGCCAGAGGGUAGGAGGGGGUGGGUAUCCAGAGCACAUCCCAUGGACCUUGGGCAGAGCAACAGACAAUGAUUAACCACACCACUUCCUCUCUAACGCGGAGGGUCUCUGGGGCCCUUGGGCAGAGCGACAUCCCUGCCAGAUUCCUUGUGUACCAGACAUGAAAAGUCUCAUCAUGUCAAGCAAUGAAAGUAAUUCUGACAUCGACAGCAUUGGAGAAAGGUAGCAGCCUUACAAUACCAUUAAUAUCACCAUUAAUAUCACAUGUUCUUCAUGCAUCUUCAUCUGUUGGAAGCGCCCAUCAUGGCGCCAGUUCUCUUCGUCACCAGCCAUUGGCCAUGCAGGAAGGAGAUGAUGGGGUUUGUGACCCAAGAUAUGGAAGGUGGUCAACAAGCUGAGGAAAGUUGGACUAGUGAGACAGUACAGCAACCAUCCAGACAAAACAAAAGCAGGACAUCAAAAAUGACAACAUCUGCUCCUUCUUAGAAACAUCUCCUUAUCUCAUCUCAAGCCAGACGUGGCUGUCCACUGUAGCUGCUUCCACCAGCAACAAGAGACAGCUGGUAUUCUUCUCUGUGGAACCUUUCC